rnacentral:rRNA from 1 species
GCCCGUACCGUAAACCGACACAGGUGGGUGGGAUGAGUAUUCUAAGGCGCGUGGAAGAACUCUCUUUAAGGAACUCUGCAAAAUAGCACCGUAUCUUCGGUAUAAGGUGUGCCUAGCUUCGUUAAGAAUUUACUUCGUAAGCGAAGAAGGUUACAACAAAGAGUCCCUCCCGACUGUUUACCAUAAACACAGCACUCUGCUAACUCGUAAGAGGAUGUAUAGGGUGUGACGCCUGCCCGGUGCUCGAAGGUUAAUUGAUGAUGUUAGCUUAUGCAAAGCAUCUGAUCGAAGCCCGAGUAAACGGCGGCCGUAACUAUAACGGUCCUAAGGUAGCGAAAUUCCUUGUCGGUUAAAUACCGACCUGCAUGAAUGGCGUAACGAGAUGGGAGCUGUCUCAAAGAGGGAUCCAGUGAAAUUGUAGUGGAGGUGAAAAUUCCUCCUACCCGCGGCAAGACGGAAAGACCCCGUGGACCUUUACUAUAGCUUGACACUGCUACUUGGAUAAAGAUGCGCAGGAUAGGUGGGAGGCUUUGAGUCGUAGAUCUCGGUUUACGAUGAGCCAUUGUUGAGAUACCACUCUUCUUUAUUCGGGUAGCUAACUAGCCUAAGUUAUCCUUAGGUAGGACAAUGUCUGGUGGGUAGUUUGACUGGGGCGGUCGCCUCCCAAAAUGUAACGGAGGCUUACAAAGGUUGGCUCAAAGCGGUUGGAAAUCGCUUGUAGAGUAUAAAGGCAAAAGCCAGCUUAACUGCGAGACAUACACGUCGAGCAGAGACGAAAGUCGGUCUUAGUGAUCCGGUGGUUCUGUGUGGAAGGGCCAUCGCUCAAAGGAUAAAAGGUACCCCGGGGAUAACAGGCUGAUCUCCCCCAAGAGCUCACAUCGACGGGGAGGUUUGGCACCUCGAUGUCGGCUCAUCGCAUCCUGGGGCUGUAGUCGGUCCCAAGGGUUGGGCUGUUCGCCCAUUAAAGCGGUACGCGAGCUGGGUUCAGAACGUCGUGAGACAGUUCGGUCCCUAUCUGCCGUGGGCGUAAGAAGAUUGAGGAGAGUUGACCCUAGUACGAGAGGACCGGGUUGAACCGACCACUGGUGUACC